rnacentral:rRNA from 1 species
UGGGGAAUUUUGGACAAUGGGGGCAACCCUGAUCCAGCAAUGCCGCGUGUGUGAAGAAGGCCUUCGGGUUGUAAAGCACUUUUGUCCGGAAAGAAAACGCCGUGGUUAAUACCCGUGGCGGAUGACGGUACCGGAAGAAUAAGCACCGGCUAACUACGUGCCAGCAGCCGCGGUAAUACGUAGGGUGCAAGCGUUAAUCGGAAUUACUGGGCGUAAAGCGUGCGCAGGCGGUCCGCUAAGACAGAUGUGAAAUCCCCGGGCUUAACCUGGGAACUGCAUUUGUGACUGGCGGGCUAGAGUAUGGCAGAGGGGGGUAGAAUUCCACGUGUAGCAGUGAAAUGCGUAGAGAUGUGGAGGAAUACCGAUGGCGAAGGCAGCCCCCUGGGCCAAUACUGACGCUCAUGCACGAAAGCGUGGGGGAGCAAACAGGAUUAGAUACCCUGGUAGUCCACGCCCUAAACAAUGUCAACUAGUUGUCGGGUCUUCAUUGACUUGGUAACGUAGCUAACGCGUGAAGUUGACCG